CCCGGCACAAGCAGUGGAGCAUGUGGUUUAAUUCGAUGCAACGCGAAGAACCUUACCUAGGCUUGAAAUGCAGUGGACCGGGUAUGAAAGUACCCUUCCCUUCGGGGCCGCUGUACAGGUGCUGCAUGGCUGUCGUCAGCUCGUGCCGUGAGGUGUUGGGUUAAGUCUCGCAACGAGCGCAACCCCUACUAUUAGUUGCCAUCAGGUUAUGCUGGGCACUCUAAUGGGACUGCCUACGCAAGUAGUGAGGAAGGUGGGGAUGACGUCAAGUCAGCAUGGCCCUUACGCCUAGGGCUACACACGUGCUACAAUGGGUACUACAACGGGUUGCUAAGCCGCAAGGUGGAGCCAAUCCCUUAAAGGUAUCCUCAGUUCGGAUUGGAGUCUGCAACUCGACUCCAUGAAGUUGGAAUUGCUAGUAAUCGCGUAUCAGCGCGACGCGGUGAAUACGUUCCCGGGCCUU
rnacentral:rRNA from 1 species